AUUGAACGCUGGCGGCAGGCCUAACACAUGCAAGUCGAGCGGAUGAAGGGAGCUUGCUCCUGGAUGCAGCGGCGGACGGGUGAGUAAUGCCUAGGAAUCUGCCUGGUAGUGGGGGAUAACGUCCGGAAACGGGCGCUAAUACCGCAUACGUCCUGAGGGAGAAAGUGGGGGAUCUUCGGACCUCACGCGAUCAGAUGAGCCUAGGUCGGAUUAGCUAGUUGGUGGGGUAAAGGCCUACCAAGGCGACGAUCCGUAACUGGUCUGAGAGGAUGAUCAGUCACACUGGAACUGAGACACGGUCCAGACUCCUACGGGAGGCAGCAGUGGGGAAUCUUGGACAAUGGGCGAAAGCCUGAUCCAGCCAUGCCGCGUGUGUGAAGAAGGUCUUCGGAUUGUAAAGCACUUUAAGUUGGGAGGAAGGGCAGUAAGUUAAUACCUUGCUGUUUUGACGUUACCAACAGAAUAAGCACCGGCUAACUUCGUG
rnacentral:rRNA from 1 species